AGGGAAACGGUAUAAAUAUCUAAUCUUGAUUUGAGUGAGAUUUUUCUUUUCUCACUUUGCUUUUGAUAAAAAAAAACAACAAUUAUUUAUUUUUCUGAAAGCCUUCUUCGUUAACAGCCUUUUACAAACCGGCCUCAAACAUUUGCACAGUCCUGUAUUCAGAUAAUGAACAGAGCAAAAGCCACACGUAGAAAGGUGUGGAAAAACGCCUGGUGCAUCCUGAAAUGACCUCAAGCCGUUUCACCUGCAGCUGUAACAAACGGCUCAGAGUCAGAGAGACAGCAGCUGAAGCACUAAAACUAUUCCCCACAAGCAUGAUCGGUUACCCAUAACCCCCUAUUCCCUCAGGAAAGAAAAAAAGGUAGUGAAAAUCCCCUCCCCUCCAAUUUAUUCCAUCCAGGAUUAUAUACAGUACUCAAGUAUUAGUUUGAUCAAAAAGGAAGUUUUGAUCUAAUUUGUUGUCUGCCUUCUGUUCUGAAACAGGCAGAUACUUGCAGUAAAGAGGAGAACAACAGGAACCACAGGAGGAUGAGGAGACAAACAUGUUCAAGCUAAAGGCUGUGAGACAUUCUCCAACAGAGACAGUCUGCAAGAACAAACGCAACCAACUCAAAGAACGGAUGGUCAAAACCUAUAAAGAUAGGAAAGAACUCCAAGAUACUUCAGUGACACCAGUCAGCGAAGGAUCUGUGAGAUCUACAGUAUCGCCUCAACACACAAAGAGCUUAAAAACACUGAGACGUCCUCCCUUCUCAGCUCUGAUCCAGCCUCUACAGCAGAAACAUACAGACUGAGUUAGAAGACAUCCUCCACAGCUCAAACAAUAAUUGCCGACAAUGACUGCAUCAAAAGGUUGAGCAACAAAAGUAAUAAAGCCUCUGUCAUUUUGGUGUUUCCAUUUGUCCUCAAAUUCUGUGAAACAUUAAAAUAAAACUUUUUACAUCUGA